CUGCGGAAGGAUCAUUA
rnacentral:ncRNA from 346 species